UUGUACUUUUGCGUUCUUCGUUUAAUGUUCUUUCUUUCUUAACAGCUAGUUUAUAACUAAUCGUUCACCAUGAAAGAACAGUGGACCCUCAGUAAGGACAAACUUGUGACUGUAGAGGAAGGGUUAAUUCCUAACGAGGAGAAUCCUCGUGUGAAGGCUAUACAAGCAAGCAAUCGUAAAUAUUUAACGCAAUGUGUCAAAAUAAUUCUCUACUUGGAAUUGAUUCUAUUCGUUGCAUGGGCAUGUUACUCGAUUUGGCAAACUUUUUACGUCCAAUCGAAUUACAUGGACGUUGCAAGCAACGUUGCACAAAUAAAAUCGCAAAGUUUAAAGGGUCAAGAUUGGACGUAUGAAAAAAGUGGAAAUCCAUCCACGCAAUUGUACGGUUCUGAAUAUAUUUCGACAACCACGAAAAAUCCAUUGGAAGAAGAAACUGCAUAUUCGAGAGUCAUUUCGGAUAUGAACGAAACUGAAUCCUUUAAUGAAGAAGUUACUAUCGUUAAUGCGAUAGAAAAUCCUGAUACGGAAAUAAACGAAGAGCACGAUUUAAUAUUGUCAACAAGUAACGAUAAGAAAUUUACGUCACCGUACGUUGAAACUUCAACUGCGUUCAAUGUUUAUAAUACUGCAGAUAGAACGGAGAAGCAAUUUGAUGAAACUUCGGACGUUGAUGAAUCAAAAAAUAUCGAUUCAGACAUAACACAGUCGCAGGAAGACAGUUUACGUCCUGGUAUUUUUGUAAACGAUUCUGAAGCUGCGAAUAGAUUUGAAGAUGAUUCAAAAGAAGACGAAACGUCGAUAAGGUAUGAUUACAGCACGAAUGAAGAAUCGAAAGAUCCAGACAACACUAGCAAACAGGAAUUUUUCCUACUUUUUUUACCAGUUCUGCAAAGUGGUUUGAAAAAUACAGAACCGUUGGGAAAUUCUGCUGAAAAUAAUAAUGGAGAGGGGGCAGCUGUUACGACGGAAAUGUCGCCAAUUGAAAUUGACAACAUAGGAGGAAUGUCGGAAGGCGAGUUAAUUUCUGAUAAAAAUUCGAAUAAUUCCGAAGACAUUCUUUGGUAUGACAGAAGCUACUACGAUACACAUCUCCCGGAAAACCCUGAAACAUUUGCAGAUUCCAAUGAAUAUCCCCAAGCAGAAGAAAGCAAGCAUGAAGAACUGAAAGAUCUAGAUAGCACUAGCAAACAGGAAUUUUUCCUACUUCUUUUACCAGUUCUGCAAAGUGGUUUGAGAAAUACAGAACCAUUGGAAAAUUCUACGGGAAAUAAAGACGGAGAAGGGGCAGAUGUUACGAUGGAAAAGUCACUAAUUGAAGUGGAUAACAUAGAAGGAAUAUCAGAGGGCGAGUUAAUUUCUGACGUAGAUUCUAAUAUUUACAAAGACACUGUGAUCUCUGACAGUAACUCCGAAGAUAGAGAUGUCCUGAAACAAGCUAAAAAAUGUACAGAUUCUAACGAGUAUCCCCAGAUAGAAGAAAGCAAGUAUGAAGAAAAAGUAGAGGGAAUAUCAGAAGGCGAGUUAAUUACUGAUGAAAAUUCGAAUACUCACAUGUUUACUGUGAUCUCUGGCAGUAGCUCCGAAGGUAGAGAUGUCCUGAAACAAGCUGAAAUACUUAGAAAUUCUAAUAAAUAUCCCCAAACAGAAGAAAGCAAGCAUGAAGAGAAAGUAGAGGGAAUAUCAGAAGGCGAGUUAAUUUCUGAUGAAAAUUCGAAUGCUCACAUAAUCAUUGUGAUCUCUGACAGUAGCUCCGAAGAUAAAGAUGUCUCGACAGAAGCUGAAAUAUUUACAGAUUCUAAUGCACAUCUCCAAACAGAAGAAAGCAAGCAUGAAGAGUCGAAAGAUGCAGACACCCUUGGAAAAAUGGAAGUUUUAGAGAACUUCGUACUUUUUGUUCCAAUUCUACGAAAUGCUUCGGGACAUACAGAAGUAUUAAAAAAUUCUACUGAAAAUAAUAACAGAGAAAAGAUCACUGUUACGUUGGUAAAGUUCCGAAAUGAAAUGGAAAGCACAGAAGGAAGAUCAAAAGACGAGUCAACUUCUGAUGAAAAUUCGAGUAUUUCCGAAGACGUUAUCUACGAAGAUACAAAUAUCUCGUCAUACCCUGAAAUAUUUACACAUUCUAAUGAAUAUUCCCAAACAAAAAAAAGCAUGCACGAAGAAUGGAAGAAUCUGGAUAGCACUGGCACAGAUGAGCUUUCUGACAGCAAUGAUCACUAUAAUGCACCACUUUCGGCAGAAAAUUAUGAAGACAUCGACAGUUCGCAAAGUUCAUCUUCUUUUUUCAAUGGAUUUUUUUCUAGUCGUAAUCUUUUCAAAGAUGUAGUGGCUUCCGAUAAAUACAAGAUGGAAGCAGACUGGGCUCGGCGAAUCAUAAAGCUCUACGAUCCCAGGGUAAUAAUAAGGACUAAAAAUUAUAUAAAUACGCAUAUGGAAAAUAAAGACGAAAAAUCAGAGGAUAACGAAACCCCACAAUUCAAAUGAUAUUGUAACCUUACUUUUAACAAUGACCGAUAAUUUUUUGGGUGUAAUUGAACCUAUAAUUUUAUAGAAGAUCGCUAAGUACGUGUAGGAAGUGUGGUAAUCCUGCGUCUACUCUGCGUAACUCAAUUCGUGAGAGAGAAAACUUAUUAACGCAGAAAUUUCCAACUGUUAACGAACACGACCAACAACUGAUAAAAAAUGACAUAGGCAAAUAUUUCCGUAGGUUAGAAAUGUUAGCUGCUCCCAUUGAUAAAUUGCACGAACAAUAUCUCCGUUCAAAUGAGCUCAAUGACGAUUA